rnacentral:rRNA from 1 species
UACAGAGGGGCAAGCGUUGUUCGGAAUUACUGGGCGUAAAGGGCGCGUAGGCGGCCUGUUAAGUCGAACGUGAAAUCCCGGGCUCAACCCGGGAACUGCGUCCGAUACUGGCAGGCUUGAAUCCGGGAGAGGAUGCGGAAUUCCAGGUGUAGCGGUGAAAUGCGUAGAUAUCUGGAGGAACACCGGUGGCGAAGCGGCAUCCUGGACCGGUAUGACGCUGAGGCGCGAAAGCCAGGGAGGCAAACGGG